CAGCAGCCGCGGGAAUACGUAGGUGGCAAGCGUCGUCCGGAAUUAUUGGGCGUAAACGGCUCGCAGGCGGUUUCUUAAGUCUGAUGUGAAAGCCCCCGGCUCAACCGGGGAGGGUCAUUGGAAACUGGGAAACUUGAGUGCAGAAGAGGAGGGUGGAAUUCCACGUGUAGCGGUGAAAUGCGUAGAGAUGUGGAGGAACACCAGUGGCGAAGGCGACCCUCUGGUCUGUAACUGACGCUGAGGAGCGAAAGCGUGGGGAGCGAACAGGAUUAGAUACCCGUGUAGUCCCUGUCUCUUAUAC
rnacentral:rRNA from 1 species